GUACAAGGGAGGAGUCACCG
rnacentral:siRNA from 1 species